ACGGAGAGUUUGAUCCUGGCUCAGAACGAACGCUGGCGGCGUGGAUUAGGCAUGCAAGUCGAACGAUCCCGCAAGGGAUAGUGGCGAAAGGGUGCGUAACACGUGGGCAAUCUGCCCCCGAAACGGGAAUAACUUCGGGAAACCGAAGCUAAUACCUGAUGACACCGAGCUGCCGCAUGGUGGCACGGUGAAAGGCGUCCGCAAGGGUGCCGAUCGGGGAUGAGCCCGCGGCCUAUCAGCUAGUUGGUGAGGUAACGGCCCACCAAGGCGAUGACGGGUAGCCGGCCUGAGAGGGUGGUCGGCCACAUUGGGACUGAGACACUGCCCAGACUCCUACGGGAGGCUGCAGUCGAGGAUCUUCCGCAAUGGGGGAAACCCUGACGGAGCGACGCCGCGUGGAGGAUGAAGGCCUUCGGGUCGUAAACUCCUGUCAGUCUGGAAGAAAAUCUGCAGCAAUGUGGAUUGACCGUACAGGCAGAGGAAGCUCCGGCUAACUCCGUGCCAGCAGCCGCGGUAAUACGGAGGGAGCGAGCGUUGUUCGGAAUCAUUGGGCGUAAAGGGCAUGUAGGCGGCUCUGUAAGUCGGGUGUGAAAUCCCAUCUCUCAAGGGUGGAACGGCAUUCGAAACUGCAGGGCUUGAGUUCGGGGGAAGAGAGCGGAAUUCUCGGUGUAGCGGUGAUAUGCGUAGAUAUCGAGAAGAACACCAGCGGCGUAAGCGGCUCUCUAUCCUGAAACUGACGCUGAGGUGCGAAAGCCAGGGGAGCGAACGGGAUUAGAUACCCCGGUAGUCCUGGCCAUAAACGAUGUGCACUUGGUGUUGGGCCGCGAGGCUCAGUGCCGAAGCUAACGCAUUAAGUGCACCGCCUGGGGAGUACGACCGCAAGGUUGAAACUCAAAGGAAUUGACGGGGGCCCGCACAAGCGGUGGAGCAUGUGGCUUAAUUCGACGCAACGCGAAGAACCUUACCGGGGUUUGACAUGCAGCUGCUCAUCCUGCGAAAGCAGGACUCCUUCGAGGGUGCUGCACAGGUGCUGCAUGGCUGUCGUCAGCUCGUGCCGUGAGGUGUUGGGUUAAGUCCCGCAACGAGCGCAACCCUUGUCCUUAGUUGCUAACACGAAAGGUGAGCACUCUAAGGAGACUGCCCCAGUCAAUGGGGAGGAAGGUGGGGAUGACGUCAAGUCAUCAUGGCCCUUAUAUCCCGGGCUGCACACGUGCUACAAUGGCCGGUACAAUGGGUAGCGACACCGCGAGGUGGAGCCAAUCUCAAAAACCGGUCUCAGUUCGGAUUGAAGUCUGCAACUCGACUUCAUGAAGCUGGAAUCGCUAGUAAUGGCGGAUCAGCUACGCCGCCGUGAAUACGUUCCCGGGCCUUGUACACACCGCCCGUCACAUCACGAAAGCUGGCUGUACCCGAAGUCGCUGUACCGACCCCGCAAGGGGAGGAAGGUGCCGAAGGUAUGGUCAGUGAUUGGGAUGAAGUCGUAACAAGGUAGCCGUAUCGGAAGGUGCGGCUGGAUCACCUCCUUUCUAAGGA
rnacentral:rRNA from 1 species